UUAAGUGCAUGCGUACGAACCAUCACGGUCUCUAGAGUAUCAAAUUACUCCUCUCUAUUUUCACUGCCGCAGUUUUUAUUUCUCCUGGGAAAGGAGAAAGAGGAAGGCAAAGGCGAAGCCGAAUCGUCAGAUCAUCGACGGCUGCUGGAUUACCAUCACUGUGAGCCCAUUCUCGGAGGUGUUAACCGUCGCCUUCUUUCCCUUUCAAAUUAACCGUCAAUUACGGUUGUGCAGCUGCUCGGGACUCCACCAAGAAAUCAGUAUGGCCUGGAAUCAGCUGCUGACAGCCGUCUGGCGGGAAUCCUGGUGCAUUUCCGAGAUGGGAUCCCGAGAAAUUCCUUCCUGGAUCCGCGUCGGGAUUCCCGCCAGCUCGUAACAGGGGCGGGCGGGAUGUUGGGGGCACAUCCUAAAGCCAAGUUUUUCAGAAAGGCAAACUUCCCUACUUUUGAUCGGCUAACCAUAUUAAUAGAAGAUUAUGAUGGAGAUGAGCAUCCUAACAUCUUUUCUAUAUGGGUGUGUGAAUUUCUCAAUCUUUUUGAAGAUUUUAUAGUAUACUUUUCUUGUAGUUGUUAUCUAUAAUGAGGUAAAGUGGCAAGAUCCUGUAGUAUUGUGAAUUUCAUUUGUUCUGAUAUAUAAUUUCAAAUUGCACGUCAAAUAUCUACA